AAGCCUCAGAAAUUAGAUGCUAGUGCUAAGCAUCUCAGCAAGGCUGAUGAUUGUAGGAAAAUCAUUGCUGCUUCUGUUUACAGUCUUAAAGUUGAAGAAAGAAAGAAAGAUUGAAAUGCCUCAAUCACUCAGUGAGAGAAUGGAAUUUUCAAAUUUUAAUACUAAAGAAGAGGAACUGUCUCCUGCUCAGUAUGAAAUAAAUUAAGACAACACUGAUAUUAUGAUCAUUGAUUUGGAGAAAGAUAAAAAUAACGAGAAUUGUGAAACUACUAAAGAAAUUAACUUUGCUAACGAGACAAAGAAAGAUAAUUCAAUAGGUUAUUAGAUCUAUCACAUGUUGCAAAAGUUAUAAUACUUAUAAUAAUUUGUUGUAAACAAGGAAAAAGACGAGUGAUAUGGGAUGAUUAUUUUUGUGGUUUCUUAACAUCUGUGGACUUUACUCAUGCUCAACCAAUUAUAAAAUGAUUCUUUUGAUUCUAAUUGAGGACAAAUUGCAGACAAACUUCCUGUGGACUUUACUUAUGCUCAACCAAUUAUAAAAUGAUUCUUUUGAUUCUAAUUGAGGACAAAUUGC